GAGAAAUAAAGGCCCAAAGGGUUCACCACUACUGAACGUCUUUUCUUUCUUCCUCGAGAAACAAGUACUCUAAUGGCGCCUCUGAGAGAUUAGGGUACGGGUGCUCGACCAGGCGGGCCCCCUUUGUUCCGGCAGCCCGGGGCGGCCGCCUCCCCCCCCGCUCAGGGCUGGCCUUCGAUGCUUGCCCGGCGCCGAGGUCAACGUUUAGUGCAGUCAUAAAUCGCCAAUCCAUCGAAGGCGGCGAUUCACAGAGCACAGCUGCAAGUGCGGAGCGAGCACGGCCGGCCGCAGGGCUGCGACGAUGGAAUCCCAAGUAUGAAGAGGAGACAAGCAUCGCACGAGGAGGAGAGGAGCAGCUGGACGUGAAGAUGGACGUGGAGCUGGACAAGGAGCUGGACAUGAAGAUAUCCCAUGGACGCGCGAGGGAGGAGCGGGAGGCAUGCGCGAGAGGAGAAGACGAAGUCCAGGCUGGCCCAGCACCCGGUCAGACCGGCCGCCACGCCGGCGCGCCCGGUCCCUGGCCCGAUCCAACCGGGCGGCCAGCCGGAUCCACCCUGGCGCCAACCGGACGCCACGCUGACAGCAACCGGACGGGUUACUGCGCCACAAUUUUAGAGCCCGGUUGCCACCCGGUCCCUGGCCCCGUUUGAACCGGCCAACCCGGUCCCAGGCCCGGUCGACCGGCCCCCAGACCGGCCGUGUCCGAGUCUGUCUCGACCAGAUCUAUUCUGGGUCGGUUAUUUUCGUACUUUUUCGACCUGAGGUCGUCCCGGACGCCUAUAUAAGUGCCCAGGAUGCUCCCCUAGCUGUUUUAGACCACGUUUAAGAUAAACCCUAGUUCUUAGUUGUUUGCUAUGCAAAACUAUUGAAUUCCCUACACCAUAUUGCUCGAUAUUGUGUAGAUCUGAAAGUCUUGUGUGA